rnacentral:rRNA from 1 species
ACGAACGCUGGCGGCGUGCUUAACACAUGCAAGUCGAACGGUGAAGCGCCUUCCUUUUUGGUGGGUGUGGAUGAGUGGCGAACGGGUGAGUAACACGUGAGUAACCUGCCCCCUUCUUCUGGAUAACCGCAUGAAAGUGUGGCUAAUACGGGAUAUUCUGGGUCUGUCGCAUGAUGGGUCUGGGAAAGAUAUUGUUUCGGUGGGGGAUGGGCUCGCGGCCUAUCAGCUUGUUGGUGGGGUGAUGGCCUACCAAGGCGGUGACGGGUAGCCGGUCUGAGAGGGUGGACGGUCACACUGGGACUGAGACACGGCCCAGACUCCUACGGGAGGCAGCAGUGGGGAAUAGUGCACAAUGGGCGCAAGCCUGAUGCAGCGACGCCGCGUGAGGGAUGGAGGCCUUCGGGUUGUGAACCUCUUUCGCCAGUGAAGCAGGCCUGCCUCGUUUGUGGGUGGGUUGACGGUAGCUGGAUAAGAAGCGCCGGCUAACUACGUG